UCGGUGCACUCUAAAAAUAUCCUUUAUUCAAAAUAACUUAAAUAUCCCUUAAUAUUCCUAAUACAAGUCUAAAUAAAAACAGUCGACAUUUUAACGCGAGUUCAGAAUCUUCAUCUUAUUUUGGGUAAAGCCCAUUAUUUUGUAUAGUAUCCUCUAAAUGUAUCGCAUAAAAUGAAAAACUUUCGAAAAUUAUUGUUACGUUUUCCAACACUUUUUUAGGAGUUUAUGCGUCCCGAUUUAAAUGUGGAUAUUUCGAAUAAGGGAUAUUAAUUCGUCGGGAGUUAUUUCGCCCGUGAGACAGUUUGAGGGGAAUCGUUAUACGCCACGUUAUCGAUGUAUAAUAAUCUUAUUAUUGUCGUUGAGUAUCCGUGAAAUGCGUAUUAGAUAUAAGACCUAACUACGAUGAUAAUAUAAUAUUCUAUUAUUUUGAGAACCCGCGGAGUGUAU